UGUUUUUUAACUGGCUGUAAUGUAUAAGAGAACUACUUUGUGAUGUAAAAAAACAAAUAGAACAAGAGCAAAAUCAUGAACAUGAAAAUGUAUGUCAAAAGAAUGUUUCUAUUUAUACUUUUGUGCUGCCAUCUACAUUCUACGUCAUCUUUUGGUGUCAGUAUGGUCUAUAAAAUAGACUACGUUUUAGAGGACGCUAGCCCUAUGGAUAUAAAUCAGAUCAGUUGUACAUCAAGGUGUAGCUGCUCAUUGGAUGACACCUCAACGUUUCAAGUCAUUUCUUUCAAUAGUACUAUAUUUCGCUUAAGGUAUUAUAAUGGGCCGCUUUAUGCAGUCAGCACUCCUUAUUAUGAUCUUAAUAUCACAUGCACUACCGUUAGUCCUGAUGAAUACAAGGAAGGAUCGCUUCCGCUCAGGAUUUUUGUG
rnacentral:sRNA from 1 species